rnacentral:tRNA from 1 species
AGGGGGUUAGUUAAAUAAUAACAUUAGUAUGUCAUGCUAAAUUUAUCAAAUUAUUGAUACCCCCUA